rnacentral:lncRNA from 1 species
GUAAAUGUAGCUCUUAAGAGUUGAUGUUUCGUCAUUUAAACGGUCAGAAUCGGUUAUUCGGAUGAUAGUGUUUCAUAGAAACAGUGAAUUAACCUGUCGAUACUUCUAGAAAAAAAAAAUAAAAUGCGGAGCUGUUCAUAUGCAACGUCAGCUAAUUAAAACUGGUUCAAGGUGAGAAAACAAGACUCGAGACACUGAACACGUGACUUCUAGAAAACAAGAAAAACCGGAUUUAAGAAUCUUGAGACAUGAUCAUUCUGUUUCUUCGACUCUCAAGAUCUGUUCAGCCGAAUUAUUGUGUUUGUUUGCCAUUUCUAUCCAGAGUCAGUGGUGAAGCUCAGAUUCUGUUUCAUCAUGGAUGAGACACAAACACCCAGAGAUGAAGAUCUUUCUCCUGAAUCCAGGUACUUUCAAUAACAUUAUAUUUAUUUUCUUUUUAAAUAACUGAAGAUGGUAUAUUUAAUGAUAAAUGCUUUAAGGACCUAAAAUUGCCCUAAUAAAGGAUUACCUUUUCUGUUAUACUGUAGUUCAGUUCAUCAGAAGAGAUCCGAACCAGAGCCCAGCUGUGUGUCUGUGAGAAGUGACUGGUCUAUUGAUAAUAUCAUAGAUUUUAAGAGAGGAGGAACACAGACUAAACUUAGUUCAGUUUAUCAGAAGAGAUCAGAACCAGAGCCCAGCUGUGUGUCUAUGAAGAGUGACUGGUCUAUAGAUAAUAUAAUAGAUUUUAAGACUGAAAAUACAGAGACUGAUCUCAGGUAUGAAAUUUCUAUAAAUAUAUGAAUAUAUAUGGCAUUUUCUUUUUGUAUAAUAUUUAUAGUUAUUUUUUAAUCUUUAUAUUGUAUGUUAAUGUAUAAAGUGUUGCUCACAUCUGUG